UACGUAGGGACCAAGCGUUGUUCGGAAUUACUGGGCGUAAAGGGCUUGUAGGCGGCCAACUAAGUCCGACGUGAAAUCCCCAGGCUUAACCUGGGAACUGCGUCGGAUACUGGAUGGCUUGAAUUCGGGAGAGGGAUGCAGAAUUCCAGGUGUAGCGGUGAAAUGCGUAGAUAUCUGGAGGAAUACCGGUGGCGAAGGCGGCAUCCUGGACCGACAUUGACGCUGAGGAGCGAAAGCUAGGGGAGCAAACAGG
rnacentral:rRNA from 1 species